AGGACGAACGCUGGCGGCGCGCUUAACACAUGCAAGUCGAGCGAGAACCGGGGCUUCGGCCCCGGGGACAGCGGCGAACGGGUGAGUAACACGUGAGUAACCUGCCCUCGGCACCGGAAUAGCCCGGGGAAACUCGGAUUAAUGCCGGAUAGCCCCUCUGCCCCUCGGGGCGGCGGGAAAAGGUAGCUUCGGCCUCUGGCCGAGGAUGGGCUCGCGGCGGAUUAGCUUGUUGGCGGGUAACGCCCACCAAGGCGACGAUCCGUAGCUGGUCUGAGAGGACGAUCAGCCACACUGGGACUGAGACACGGCCCAGACUCCUACGGGAGGCAGCAGUGGGAAUCUGCGCAAUGGGCGAAAGCCUGACGCAGCGACGCCGCGUGCGGGAAGAGGCCGUUCGGUUCGUAAACCGCUUUCGAGGAGGGACGAAGCGUACUCGGUAGAACCGAGCCCGAGGAGGUGACGUACCUACCGAGAACGAACGCCCGGCGUAAACUACGUGCCGAGCC
rnacentral:rRNA from 1 species